rnacentral:rRNA from 1 species
GAUGAACGCUAGCUACAGGCUUAACACAUGCAAGUCGAGGGGAAACGACAUCGAAAGCUUGCUUUUGAUGGGCGUCGACCGGCGCACGGGUGAGUAACGCGUAUCCAACCUGCCCACCACUUGGGGAUAACCUUGCGAAAGUAAGACUAAUACCCAAUGAUAUCCCACGAAGGCAUCCGAAUGGGAUUAAAGAUUUAUCGGUGAUGGAUGGGGAUGCGUCUGAUUAGCUUGUUGGCGGGGUAACGGCCCACCAAGGCAACGAUCAGUAGGGGUUCUGAGAGGAAGGUCCCCCACAUUGGAACUGAGACACGGUCCAAACUCCUACGGGAGGCAGCAGUGAGGAAUAUUGGUCAAUGGACGCAAGUCUGAACCAGCCAAGUAGCGUGCAGGACGACGGCCCUAUGGGUUGUAAACUGCUUUUAUAAGGGAAUAAAGUGAGUCUCGUGAGACUUUUUGCAUGUACCUUAUGAAUAAGGACCGGCUAAUUCCGUG